UUUUUGACAAACAACUUUAACUAAUAACUAAUUGAUACAUAAAAUAAAGUUUAUGAUACCACCAUAAUUUCAUUAAUUAAUAACUAAUUGAUACAUAGAAUAAAGUGUACGAUAUACCACUAUAAUUACAUGCAAACAAAUGCAUAUAUAACAUCUCUUUAAUAUUUUAUUACAUCAAAAUAAGUUCACAAAGCACACUGCAAUAAGUAGUCCCCAUGUGAAGCAAAUAAAAGACCCAAAGUCUGCUACUCAAGUGCAGCAUUCCUCACAAAGCCAGCAGCAGCAAAGUGCAGCAAGACUGCAUCAAGAAGAAAAAUAUACAAAUUAAUAUAAUAUUAUUAAAAAUAAAUGUAAAAAUAUUAUUUUCGACCGGUUUAAACUUUUAGAGAACAAUGGUUAUUUUAUUUAAUUUAAUAUACGGUAUCAAAGCAGAAGGUACUAAAUUCGAAUCACAACAGACUCCUAGUAUAAUUAAAUUUUUUCACAUUUAAUUCAGAUUUAUGUCAUGGGCCUAUUAAAAUAUUUCGAGCCUAGACAUGAGAAGGAGUGUUAGAUAUAAGCAUGCAAAUUAAAAUAUGAAAUUGAUGAAAUAAGAAACUUUAAGUUAUUAAAGAAAUAGUGUUUUAAUAAUAUCUAUAUUCAACGCUCUCCCUCUGAUCUAGCCUUGGAAUAUAUAUUUUAAUUAGCCAACAAAUGUUGAACUUAAAUAACGAGAAAAUUAAUCAAAACAAAGAGCCCAUGAUUACACUAAAAACUUAAGCCACCAGAAAAUAGUGUUUUAAUAUAUAUAUCACUACAACAAAAAGGUCUUAUAGCGAACUUUUUAAAUAUGUCGCGGUCAAAAAAAGUGCUGCUCUAAAUUACCAGACCUUUUAAAAAGUGUUGUAUUAGGUCCUAGUAUAGUGACAGGUUAAAAGAGUGUCGCUAUUACCUAAAAAAAGAUGCGGCUGAAUUUCCAACUACUUUAUUAAGUAUUGUAGCAAUGCCGGAACUAUACUCGUUGGCUGCGGUGGCGGAGGAGGACUAGAGGAAGGAUCUUUGUUUCUGAUUCAGUGGAUUGAUAAGGAGAGAAGGGGGGGAAUGGUAAUCGUCGAUUUUUCUUUUCUUUUUUUUUCUAUUUGUAAUCGGGCGAAUGGCAUGAAUGGUAUUGGUUGAGUAGAGUACCUUUUUGUUUUUAUUGAAUUGGGCUUUAUACUUCGCCAUUAGCAGGAUUUUUUUAAAAAUUUUGAUAUAAAUAGGACACUUAUAUAAAAGUAUCCCAAGCAUGGUGUCCCCUAUACUAAAUUCUGUUGUGUGAGUGUGUGUGUGUGUAUAUAUAUAAUAUAUAUUUAAUAUAUAUUCGGCGAAUACUAUUAAAUAGUAAACGCUCUUUGUGCUAUCAAGUUUUUAAGCCAAUUGAAUGAAAAUUUGUAGGAUAAGAUGAUAUAAGUCGGUUAGAAUUGAGUGGUCCCCCUAGGGUUGAGGGUCCCACUGGGUUAAGUAUUUAAUCAUGUUAAAAGAAAUAUGAAAAGAGUUGAUCCACAAUUAAAAAACUGUCGGCUAAUAAUGGAUUAUUGGCUACCUAAUAGUAAUACCCAUCCAACUCUAUAUAUAUAUUCAAAGAGUAUAUAUGUAUAUAUAUAUAUAUAUUUAUACACUUACCAUCCUUCAAUGAAGCCUUUCUCUCCUCUGUUCUUUGUUUCUGGCUUCAUUCCAGUUUGUGGUGGCUGCUCCUCAGCAGUUGGAUAACCUUCACAAUCACAGCAUAAAACAAAUCAAAAUAAAACUCAAAAGGAUUAUAAAAUAGAAUUCAUAGAGACCUAAACAUAAAAUAAAAGAUAUUUUGAAACUUCCCAAAAAAAUUGUUAUAGGAAAAGGGGAAUAUAGUUGGUUUCUAUUUUUGAAAUUUUAGAGAAAACUAUUUGUUGGUUUGGAAUUAGGAAAAAGUUUUUGAGUUCAAAUCUCACCGCACUCCUAUUUUCGUCAUAAAUACUAAAUUACCAGAGCUUCUAUUUUUGUGAUUCAAAAUCUCAUUUAGCUUUUCGCUACAGAAAAAUUUUUACCUUUUUCUCUUCAAUAUUUUAACAACUAUAAUAAUAUAUACUCAAAAACUUCUCUCUUUACGAUAAACAAAAGCACUAAAUUAGAUCUUCUACUUUUGAGACUUAAAAUUCCGUUCUUCUUCCUAUUACAAUAGACUCUUCAAUUCUUUGUCUCUACAUCAAGUGUUUUGCCAAAACAGGUUCUAAGAUCUAGAAAAAUUCAAAGCUGCUUUUAUAGUAUACAAAAAUAUUCAUUCUUUCUCUAAAAGCUUAAACUUGUAGAGAACAGUAUUUUUAACACGUAUUCAUACUCAAAACACACAUAGAUCUAGAGAGAGAGAGAGAGAGAAACCUGGUGGGGGUGGAGGCUGGUAAUUGUCCUUGUUGUCCAUGGCAGGGGAAUUGGCAGAGAACAAGAACUCAAAAAACUUCUUGAGAUGUUUCAGCAAAAAAUAGAACAGAAAAAAAAAAAACUCUGCUUCUUCAGAGAGAUGAUUCUUUAUCUAUCUUUAGGCCAUGGGCAUGUUUAUAUAACCACCAAAAGAAAGAGAGUCUCUUUCCAAGAAGGAGCCUAGUUGUGAAUGAAAAUGACAUUUGCCUCAUUAUUAUAUUUUAAUAAUGCUAAUCAAUCACCAACAACACUGAAUGAUCUGUAGAUAAACCUUCCUCAAAUAAAAAUAAAAAUAAAAAUAAAAAGGAAAAGAAAGAUCUGUAGAUAAACUUGAGAGAGCCUCCCUGUG
rnacentral:lncRNA from 1 species